rnacentral:snoRNA from 1 species
AUCCCAUGGCGCGGACAGGAAGCAACAUAGUCUUGCAUUCUCUCCCAACCAUCGGGAAUAGAUUCCUCAAUAUGUUGUGUAAAGCUAGAGAUUUUAUUGCAAAGAGC